rnacentral:rRNA from 1 species
AUUGAACGCUGGCGGCAUGCCUUACACAUGCAAGUCGAACGGCAGCACGGGAGCAAUCCUGGUGGCGAGUGGCGAACGGGUGAGUAAUAUAUCGGAACGUGCCCAGUCGUGGGGGAUAACGUAGCGAAAGCUGUGCUAAUACCGCAUACGAUCUAAGGAUGAAAGCGGAGGAUCGCAAGACCUCGAGCGAUUGGAGCGGCCGAUAUCAGAUUAGCUAGUUGGUGGGGUAAAGGCCCACCAAGGCGACGAUCUGUAGCUGGUCUGAGAGGACGACCAGCCACACUGGAACUGAGACACGGUCCAGACUCCUACGGGAGGCAGCAGUGGGGAAUUUUGGACAAUGGGCGCAAGCCUGAUCCAGCAAUGCCGCGUGCAGGAUGAAGGCCUUCGGGUUGUAAACUGCUUUUGUACGGAACGAAACGGCCCUUUCUAAUACAGGGGGCUAAUGACGGUACCGUAAGAAUAAGCACCGGCUAACUACGUGCCAGCCGCCGCGGUAA